rnacentral:rRNA from 1 species
ACGGGCGAGAGACCGAUAGCGAACAAGUACCGCGAGGUAAAGAUGAAAAGGACUUUGAAAAGAGAGUCAAAGAGUGCUUGAAAUUGUCGG